GCUAUCAUACCAUAAUGGGAAAUCCGAUUAUCGAAGUUAAGCAACGUUGGGCCCGAUUAGUACUUUCAUGGGUGACUGGCCAGGAAAAUUGGGUGUUGCGACC
rnacentral:rRNA from 1 species